rnacentral:tRNA from 1 species
UGCCCAGGGGCGGGAAUCGAACCCACAACCUUCUGCUUACCGGACAGGUGCCAUGUCCACUAGUAAGUUACUUAAGU